AGCCAGGUGUUUCGAAGACCAGAUCUGAGGAUUCGAUGCAGCGAGCUGUGACAACAGGGGACUGCAGCCUGGAAGAGGGUAAAAAGAAAAUGCAAGACCACCAUGCUGCAUCGGGAUCUCUGAAAGAACGUGAGGAAGACGGUUUCCAAAGGCAGGUGAAGAAAGUAAGUGUCCUUGAUGAAAUCAGUGGACAGAGAUCUAUGGACACUGAAGGGAAGGUGGACAUGAACGGAUGUGAGCUGGUGGGAAAGCAGCAGCUGUUGGCAGCAAAGGAGGAGGCAAAAUUGGCUGAAGAGGAGACAAGAUGGUACAAGAUAAGACUUGAAGAAUGUCACGGGCAAAUGCGGGAAGCAGAGAUCAUUUGGAGACACCAGGUAACCUGCCUUCCUCCUGACACACCGAGUCCUCAGCACCUGAUGCAGACAGUUAUUGUGGCCCUGAGAACCCCUAGCCAUGGGGUGUUUCUUGA